UCCGGCUUGUCACCGGCAGUUCCCUCAGAGUGCCCGGCCAAACCCGGGGGCAACUGAGGGCGAGGGUUGCGCUCGUUGCGGGACUUAACCCAACAUCUCACGACACGAGCUGAAGACAGCCAUGCAGCACCUGUCACCGGCCAAUUGAUGAGCCCCGUCUCCAGGGCCCCGACCGGGAAGUCAAGGGCUGGUAAGGUUCUUCGCGUUGCCUCGAAUUAAACCACAUGCUCCACCGCUUGUGCGGGCCCCCGUCAAUUCCUUUGAGUUUUAAUCUUGCGACCGUACUCCCCAGGCGGGGUGCUUAAUGCGUUUGCUGCGCCACCGAUCAGCAUGCCGACCGACGGCUAGCACCCAUAGUUUACGGCGUGGACUAC
rnacentral:misc_RNA from 1 species